GAUGAACGCUGGCGGCGUGCCUAAUACAUGCAAGUCGAGCGAACGGACGAGAAGCUUGCUUCUCUGAUGUUAGCGGCGGACGGGUGAGUAACACGUGGAUAACCUACCUAUAAGACUGGGAUAACUUCGGGAAACCGGAGCUAAUACCGGAUAAUAUUUUGAACCGCAUGGUUCAAAAGUGAAAGACGGUCUUGCUGUCACUUAUAGAUGGAUCCGCGCUGCAUUAGCUAGUUGGUAAGGUAACGGCUUACCAAGGCAACGAUGCAUAUCCGACCUGAGAGGGUGAUCGGCCACACUGGAACUGAGACACGGUCCAGACUCCUACGGGAGGCAGCAGUAGGGAAUCCUCCGCAAUGGGCGAAAGCCUGACGGAGCAACGCCGCGUGAGUGAUGAAGGUCUUCGGAUCGUAAAACUCUGUUAUUAGGGAAGAACAUAUGUGUAAGUAACUGUGCACAUCUUGACGGUACCUAAUCAGAAAGCCACGGCUAACUACGUG
rnacentral:rRNA from 1 species